rnacentral:tRNA from 2 species
GUGGGCGUGGCGAAACUGGUAGACGCAAGGGGCUUAAAACCCCUCGUCCUUUCAAGGACUUACGGGUUCGACCCCCGUCGCCCACACCA